UUGGAGGGCAAGUCUGGUGCCAGCAGCCGCGGUAAUUCCAGCUCCAAUAGCGCAUAUUAAAGUUGUUGCAGUUAAAAAGCUCGUAGUUGAAUUUCGGAAUUUGUCGGUUGGUCGGGCUUCACUGUCCGCACUGGCCUGAUGGAUUCCUACCUUCUGAAUAACCAGCAUGCUAUUAAUUUAGUGCGUUGGGGAAGCAGAGCUAUUACCUUGAAAAAAUUAGAGUGUUUAAAGCAGGC
rnacentral:rRNA from 1 species